rnacentral:rRNA from 1 species
GUGGGGAAUAUUGGACAAUGGGGGGAACCCUGAUCCAGCCAUGCCGCGUGUGUGAAGAAGGCCUUUUGGUUGUAAAGCACUUUAAGCGAGGAGGAGGCUACCGAGAUUAAUACUCUUGGAUAGUGGACGUUACUCGCAGAAUAAGCACCGGCUAACUCUGUGCCAGCAGCCGCGGUAAUACAGAGGGUGCAAGCGUUAAUCGGAUUUACUGGGCAUAAAGCGCGCGUAGGUGGCCAAUUAAGUCAAAUGUGAAAUCCCCGAGCUUAACUUGGGAAUUGCAUUCGAUACUGGUUGGCUAGAGUAUGGGAGAGGAUGGUAGAAUUCCAGGUGUAGCGGUGAAAUGCGUAGAGAUCUGGAGGAAUACCGAUGGCGAAGGCAGCCAUCUGGCCUAAUACUGACACUGAGGUGCGAAAGCAUGGGGAGCAAACAGGAUUAGAAACCCGAGUAGUCC